UACAGAGGUCCCAAGCGUUGUUCGGAUUUAUUGGGCGUAAAGAGCUCGUAGGCGGCUUGUUGCGUCGACUGUGAAAACCCGCGGCUUAACCGCGGGCUUGCAGUUGAUACGGGCAGGCUAGAGUUCGGUAGGGGAGACUGGAAUUCCUGGUGUAGCGGUGAAAUGCGCAGAUAUCAGGAGGAACACCGGUGGCGAAGGCGGGUCUCUGGGCCGAUACUGACGCUGAGGAGCGAAAGCGUGGGGAGCGAACAGG
rnacentral:rRNA from 1 species